UACGGAGGGGACUAGCGUUGUUCGGAAUUACUGGGCGUAAAGCGCACGUAGGCGGAUUGCUAAGUCAGGGGUGAAAUCCUGGAGCUCAACUCCAGAACUGCCUUUGAUACUGGCGAUCUCGAGUCCGGGAGAGGUGAGUGGAACUGCGAGUGUAGAGGUGAAAUUCGUAGAUAUUCGCAAGAACACCAGUGGCGAAGGCGGCUCACUGGCCCGGUACUGACGCUGAGGUGCGAAAGCGUGGGGAGCAAACAGG
rnacentral:rRNA from 1 species